CACUCCAUCCAGCAUGGACAAAAAGGCUGCACAGCAUUCAGCAGUACUGAUUGAGUUGACUACAUGGAUUUGCAACCAGCAGCUCAGCAGCUGCUUCAUGAACCAUCCUUCCAGGAGGGGAACAUCACAAAGAUGGAUUCCUUUAGCAGGGAAGAUAUGACAGGUUGUGAUAUCGGACUGCAGUGAAGUUCCAUUGGUGCUAUUCUGCCCUUCAUGAGUGAGCAUUGCUGGGCUGUGCAGCUGGCAAGCACAUGCCCUGUUCUUGGCAGCUUCAUGAUAAUGCCAUUCAGAGUGAAGAGUGCUGGAAUGUCUUCUAAAAACCACAAGUUUCAUCUCUAAGGGCAACAGAACAGCCCGUGUUGGUUGUGAGGGCAGUGCCAGAGGUCACAAUGGCUACAGCUGGAUUUCAAAAGGCAUGGUGGAAAAGAAGAACAGGAUUUUCUGGAGGUGUGAAGAACACUUGUCCAUUCAUAACUGAAACUAUUCAAGAUGAAUGGGUCUGAAAGGGCACUAGGCUUGAGCCAACUGCUUCUGAUCUGGGAGCUUACAGAAUGGCACCGAUCUGGAGCACUACUGUGAGCAGAUUUACGUCUGCCUCUUCCCUACCUUGGCAUUCUGGCAUUUAUGCACUCAUUGCACUGCUAGUGCACAUUCUUGCAGUGAUACUUGGGAGUUUAAUGAAGCCCAAGUGUCUGAAAGGAGUAGGCUGAAUCAAGCCUCUGUCAAGAAGCACUGCUGAAUUACUGAAUUAGCAUACCCAAGACCAGCACAUCAGGAGGAUAGCCUUCUACCAAGAAUAGUGUGGAGAUAUACCUUGUUCACAGAAGCUCUGGAAACACUGUGAGACUUGGACAGACGCAGUGCAUCCUUAGAAGGCAGAGAUGUUGCUGGUCUCUGAGCUUUGCACACUCUGUGUUCAUGACUGAUGGAAAUAAUGCCCAGUUUGGGGGGAGCUUGGUGGUAUGGGAGACAGUCACAGCAGCUCUAAUAGGGUGGCUUAUCACUUUCUUGUGGUGCCAGGUACAGCUUCUGUUCUCUUUUGCACCCACAAAUCUGGUAUAAUAUUAAUUAGAUUGAUAUUAGGUUUUAUUAGUGAAGAUCCAUAAAACAAAAAAAGGAAAAGUUCCAUAGUCAUUCUAAAAGUUGGUAUGUCAUUUGUAUGAAGGGGGUGAACAGAGAUUGGUAACAAUGAAACACUGCUUUUCCAGAAAUAAGAAAUGUUUAGGUAAAAUAUCUAAGUAAAAUUUAGCAGAAAUUUGAUUACUGCCUGAUAAAAUGCUGUCUCUUCCCUUCUAAAUCAGUUUGAUCAUCUCCCUUGUGCAAGCCCUGCACCUUCACCUAGAUUCCUUCUCGGGCAGCUACAGUGGAUCUGCUCACCAAGGGAAUUUGUCCCACUGGAUUCCUUUUUUUUUUUCUGUGCAGUUGAAUGAAAAGUGUGAGCCUUUUGAAGAACAGCAACUGAAAGAAAUAUUGAUGACUGCCAGGGCAUCUACAGAAAAAGAUAAGAAAAUUACUACAACAGUGAAAACAAAGGGGCUUUGUUAACACUUUCUUGUGUUGUAUAUAUUAAUAGUAACAAGUAAAGUUUUGUAUUUUUUCAGAGAAACACACAAGGCCUUGAAUUGUAUUGUUUUAAUUGCAACUAACUGAAUGAAUUAAGUGGAAAAUCGCACACAGUACUUUGAUUGUCUAAUUCUCUGUAUGUGAGGCUUUGGGAACAGUUUGUUAUUAUAAAAGAACAGCACUAACCAGAAAUCAGCCAACAUGUAAUUGCUAGGCUGAGGGGCAGUUUGGGGAAAGCUGAUAUUUAUUUAUACAUUAUUAAAUAAAAGCACAUAAUAUGA